ACCUACAUCAGACGGGUUAUAGCAUGUUUAUUAACAAACAAAAGUUAAAUAAUAUAAAACGACCCUAUUUUACUGCACAUAGACCUCAGUGAAAAACGUUUGGAGUUUGUACACCCCUGCUGUCCAACCACAUUCAUUAGGAAAAAUCAAUACAGAAAGUAAAUAAAUGGCAUCUGAUACAAAAAACAUACCUCCUCUGGAGCCGAGGUAGCAUGUAAUGGUUGUCGUGGGUCUAGUUAGGGAAAAGAGAACCUCUUUCAAAAUGAAUGUACUUCAUAAAUGAUGCACUUUGCAAUGAGGCACACACUUGAACUCACAUUCUUACCUGCCUGAUCCUGUGUCUUCUUCUUUAUGUUACAGGCCAAGAUGACAUUCACCAAGACGGAGAAGGCCAAAGCUGCACUUAAGAUGUAGACCAGCAACGUGUCACCUGCAGACGGAAGCGUUAUAUGCAGGUAAAGCACUCAGCAGCCACACCAACUAAGCCCCUCACGUUCAAAGGUCACGGUGGUGCCCUUCCCGAACAGGAUGUGUCCACACAUGGCCACGGCACAGUAGUAAGUCCCCACGUCUGCGUUGUUCAGUCCGCUCAUUGGUACCUCGUAAAAGCAGGUGCCGUUGGACCUCCUCCCUUCUGAAGCGUGAAUGAUCCCUGGGCCAGAUCCGGGCUCGUUCCGAAGCCAGUAAACCUGGUGUUGAUCCUUGUCACAGGACGACUUGGUUUGGACGGUGCAGCUCAGAGUCAAAUUACCUCCAUGGAGGAUGCUCUUGGAUGCUGGCUGCUUUACUGAUGCUGGGAUGUCCCAAGCGGAGGCUCUCACCUCCACUAAAAUACUCUCGUGGAAUUUACAGAUGGAAAUGUAAUAAAAUAUGCAGAAGUAGGUCCCAGAGUCUGACAUUUGGGCCUGUGAGAUGUUCAAGCAGCUCCUGUCGGAGAGAACAGUCAGGGUAAGGCGGGAGUGCUCCUCCGGUUGGCCAUGAAGUUUGCCCCUAUCGCCUUGGGUGUAGGAGCUGGCCAGCAGAUUGGGUUUCUUCCCAGGUGUUUGCUUGUACCAAUAGAAAAUGCUGAUGUCGAGUCCCGUGUUUAAACACUCCAAAGUCACGUUUUGGCCUGCUUGAACCGGCAGGUGGUGCAUGUACGACGACGACCUCUGUUCUUUUGUAUGAGCUAGUAAACGACAAGACAAAGUAAUGGAUGUUCAUUAUCAGUUUAGUAAGGACACCAAUCAAAAACUUUCCAGCUAAAUUCUAACUGCAAUCAUCACAGGAAUCUCCUUAGUGGAGGUAAUGGAGAGCGGGGGGGUACUCACCAAAUGUCCACAGGAGGAGACAAGUGACCACGCGGAGCGUCAUUUUGUUGUCUUAAUGAUGAAGGAGCAGCUUUGUGAGGUCUCAUACUGUCUUCACUCAUCGGCCAAUCAGAAGUCACUUCAGUGUGUGUGUAUGUGUGUGUGUUUCCGCGGAUGUAAACAUCAAUAUCUUAGCAGUCUCCCUUAUAACAUCCUGUUUUGUUCAUGCAAUGGUAUUUUCAAGUGUUUGUAACACACAUACACACUUACAGCAAUAUAGGAGCAGCAGGUAAAUAAAUACCUCUAACAAUUUACUGUAAUGGUAAUUACCGGUACAGUAUAUUGUGUGCAAAAAUGGCUGAAUCAUUAGCAUUUAUUUUUAUAUUUAAAUGAACCUUGGAUUUGCAAUGGUGUCAUGUAGGGCUGGGCAAUAUGGCCUUUUUUUUAAUAUCUUGAUAUUUUUAGGCCAUAUCGCGAUACACAAUAUAUAUCUCAAUAUUUUGCCUUGGACUUGAAUGAACACUUGAUGCAUAUAAUCACAGCAGUACGAUGAUUCUAUGUGUCUACAUUAAAACAUUAUUCUUCAUACUGCAUUAAUAUAGUCUACUUUUAAACUUUCAUGCAGAGAGGGAAAUCACAACUAAGUCAAUUGACCAAAACUGUAUUUAUUAAACAGUUAUUAAGCAAUGGCACAAACGUUCAUGUCAUUUCUAAAACCGAAAGUGCAAGAUUGUCAGAGACAUUUUAAGUGUUAAAUAAAAAAGAGCUGCAUAGUAGGAAAUUAAAUCGUGUUCGUCCUUCGCUAUGUGGUAGGUUUCUACGGAUGUUAUUAAAUUAUAUUUUUUUCAUACGGUGUUGAUGUGGAAAUGAUUCCCUUGGCAUUUUGAUGGUGUGACACCGAACGGAGAUGUUGAUUUUUUUUAAAUAGGUGGAGAAAUGUUGAAGUAAUAUGUUGAAAUGAGAAAAGGUAUUUUCGAAAUUUCGCGAAAACCGGGAAUUGUAUCAGUUCUGAUUAAGAGGAAUGUUUUGACGGUGGAACAGUUGAAAUGCGUUGAAAAAAUGACAUAUGGGACAUUUUUCCCAUUCAAAAUGAAUUGGCCAUUUUUCAAACUUACACCAUUUCCACAUUUUUCAACCUAUUCAAACCAUUCCCCCUUCAACAGAUUCCACCAUUCUGGAAAUUCAAACUUCGUCUUUUCAACUUCCAAAAAAUUCUAGGAUUUUCCAGGAUUCUUGCUGUUCCAAAGCCCCAUUUCCACCCUUUUUUCUGGCGACUAUCCCUCCGCAUUUUUCCAAUGCAUUUCCAUUGUUCCACCGCAACUGUUGCCUGAACAGCUAUUAAGGUACGACGCCAUCGGUGCCCAUUUUAACUAACGAACUGUAACUUGAAAGGGUUGCCUGAGCAUCUAUUAAGGUACGACCCAAUCGGCGCCCAUUUUAACUACCGAACCGUAACUUAAAAGGGUUUGCUGAACAGCUAUUAAGGCACGAUGCCAUCGGCGCCCACGUUAAUCCCCAAACCGUAACUUAAAAAGGGUUGGCUGAACAGCUAUUAAGGUACGAUGCCAUCGGCGCCCAUGUUGACUACUUAACAGUAACUUAAAAGAGUUGGCUGAACAGCUAUUGAGGUAUGACGCCAUCUGCGCCCAUUUUACUACACCACCAAACUGUAACUUAAAAGUGGGCAGGCCAUCACUAAUGUUGCCGCAAGGCACAGCACGCGUUGGACUGCCUGGCCGCCGGGCAGGCCGCUUUUACCACUUAUUACAGGAAAUUCAUUAAGGAUUCAGCUCUUUGUAAUUUUACAUUUAAUCAGGUUGUGUCUUCUGCCAAGGCAUCUAUUGACGUCUUGAAGAAUUUUUCAAUCCAAUUUGUCUGAAUGAUCACACAAGUCAUGAAAUUUAAAAGUUCAAGGCUUUUAUCUGAACUGAACUUUGUCAGACUUCUUUACUGUCAAUGACUUUUUGAAGAAUCAAUCAAAACCACAAGUCAAAUGACAAAUCCAGUUUGCAAUGUCACCUUUCAACAGAACUUUGUUUGGUCCUAUUGCUCUAAUAUGUUUAUUAUCUGGGAGAUUGACACAGGCAUUUAACUUUUCCACACACCAUGCUGAAUCACGGUUUAAAUCAUAGUCCAUGUUAACUUCCAAACCGUAACUUAAAAGGGUUAAGCCUUUAAGAUACGACCUAGUUGGCGCCCAUGUCAAGUACUGAACUGCAACUUAAAACAUCUUUUAAGGUACGAUGCAAUUGGUGCCCAUUUCAACACCGAACCGUAACUUAAAAGGGUUGGCUGAACAAUAGUGAUGGGUCCUGCAACAGCGAUGCAUCGGCGCAUGCGUCAAGCUCAUAAAGCGAAACCCUGUGUCGGUGCGCGUACCGCUUUUAGAAAGUCACGUGACCGAUCAUAAGCUGUUUUGGUUACAUGACUGAUACGCAAACUGUGUCGCACUGGCACGCCACCCUAUGUUUAUAAGGAAGUGCAUUUGUCAACGAGAUGCUGCUGCCAACAGAAUCGCCGCACUUCUGUCGUUUUUUAUAAAUUUAUCGUCGUCGGAGAUCAUGGAGCAGCCUCCGGCAAAAAAAAAAAAGAUUUCUGCCGUGUGGGAAUAUUUUGAUCUUACUGUAUAUCGGAAAAAAAGGUAUGUGUGUUAAUUUCCUUGUCGUUUCAUCCUGUUCUCUCAAAGUUUCCACUUGAUCUAUUAGAAUUCAAAAUCUCUUCAAAAUGAUUCUUAGUGUAAAAUUAAUAUUUUCUGCAGGUUAAAUGUCGCAUUUGUAGGACAGGAUUGUCGUACAUAUACAAAUCCACCUCCUCAAUGCUGAGGCAUUAUAGGGCCAGGCAUGACAAUGAAAUUACAGAGACACCCGGGAUAAACUCAGGUAUACAGCCAUACAACUUCCUCAGGUUUUUUUUUGAUAAUUAUUUCCCUACUUCUUUAUCUCCUUUUUAACCAUUAAGCUACCAGGAAGCAGAUGCUGGAUGAGGCUCUGCUGAAAUGUAUUGUCAAUAACUGCCAGCACCACAGCAUCGUGGAGAGUGAAAGGUUCAGGGAACUGGUGCAGGUCCUUGAGACAUCAUGUUUUGCCUACCAGAAAGACCAUCAAAAAAAUGCUGGUGCAAAAAUAUGAGGAAGAACGGGAACGAGUGAAAUUGGAAGUACAGCAAGCUGUGGUAAUAACCUUUGGAAACAUCUGGAUAUGGAAGUGGGAAGGCAGACAAAAAACUCUACUGCAGAUGCCAUUCAAGACGUCCAACGUUACCUGGCAGAGGGAAAUGUAGCUAGGUCCCAGGCAUACUUGCCAACCCUCCCGGAUUUUCCGGGAGACUCUCAAAAUUCAGCGCCUUUCCCGAAAACCUCCCGGAAGAAAUUUUUUCCCAAAAAUCUCCCGAAAUUCAGCGGAGCUGGAGGCCACGCCCCCUAUAGUUCCAUGCGGACCUGAGUGGGGACAACCUGUUUUCACGUCCGCUUUCCCACUAUAUAAACAGCUUGCCUGCCCAAUCACGUUACAACAUCUACGGAUUUUAAUAAAAAAACUGCACACACAAGGAGAUGAAGCAGAAGAACGAGGAAGUUACAUCCAUGGCGACGCCGUCUGUAAUAGAGUGAUUCUAUGUUGUCUGUCGCCAUCUCCUGGUGAAUGUUGGCUAUAGCGUUAUGGGGUUGCUUUUUGAUUGGCCAACAAUUUACGUGGUGUUGUGCACCUGACGGCAAGUGACUCUCGCCAGUACGCAAAUGACAGAACAAAGGUUACUCAAAUAGUGAAAGUUAAGUGUUGUUUUUUUUUAGUAACCAGCAAGCACAGUACAGUUAGUAGAACAACUGUGUUUUUAUUACUGUGUAUUUGAUAGGUGCCGUCUGAAAUUCAACCAUUUUUUA